AACGAACGCUGGCGGCAUGCCUAACACAUGCAAGUCGAACGAGACCUUCGGGUCUAGUGGCGCACGGGUGCGUAACGCGUGGGAACCUGCCUUUAGGUUCGGAAUAACUCAGAGAAAUUUGAGCUAAUACCGGAUAAUGUCUUCGGACCAAAGAUUUAUCGCCUUUAGAUGGGCCCGCGUUGGAUUAGCUAGUUGGUGGGGUAAAGGCCUACCAAGGCGACGAUCCAUAGCUGGUCUGAGAGGAUGAUCAGCCACACUGGGACUGAGACACGGCCCAGACUCCUACGGGAGGCAGCAGUGGGGAAUAUUGGACAAUGGGCGAAAGCCUGAUCCAGCAAUGCCGCGUGAGUGAUGAAGGCCCUAGGGUUGUAAAGCUCUUUCACCGGUGAGGAUAAUGACGGUAACCGGAGAAGAAGCCCCGGCUAACUUCGUGCCAGCAGCCGCGGUAAAGUGACUACUG
rnacentral:rRNA from 1 species